UACGUAGGGCGCAAGCGUUAUCCGGAAUUAUUGGGCGUAAAGAGCUCGUAGGCGGUUUGUCGCGUCUGCCGUGAAAGUCCGGGGCUCAACUCCGGAUCUGCGGUGGGUACGGGCAGACUAGAGUGAUGUAGGGGAGACUGGAAUUCCUGGUGUAGCGGUGAAAUGCGCAGAUAUCGGGAGGAACACCGAUGGCGAAGGCAGGUCACUGGGCCGCAACUGACGCUGAGGAGCGAAAGCAUGGGGAGCGAACAGG
rnacentral:rRNA from 1 species